ensembl:lncRNA
ACACUGAAAAAAGGGGGAAAUGGGGGUUGUUCACUUAACAAAUGAACAGUUCGUAUACAUAACACAAUUGAUUUAUGUUCCUCCUCUAAACAUAUGUAAAUCGUGUAGAAUUCUUCUAAUCUUCAGGGAUGUUUAAUUUUUAUGUUUCAGUCAUGUUAUAAAGAAAGGAAGUUGUUAUGUUUCAUCUGGAAACUCCGCCCAUUAGGAGCAGGUUUUUUAAGGGAAAACUUUGUGCGCCAUUUCUUCAAUCCAGUCGGAGGAAUUAAUCCGUCUGGACCAUAAAAGUCUGGACAGCUCUUCACACGUACUCGUUCGAAGUGCUCCAGAAGGUUGUGAUGGAGCUGGACGGCAAGACACUGUCAAAGAAAGCCCCGGCUCUCAAAAACAGACUCCAUCAGUGAACUGUUGCCAUUUGAUGGCAAAAUGGAUACAACCGUUUCACCAUCUUGUUUUGGAAUAUGGACCAUUGCUGCUUUUUCAGUAGGAUUAUUGGAACCAGUCACCUGCAUGUUCUGUGAUGGGCCGCUACCAAGUGUAGUGUAUUUUUUUUUCUUUUUUUUUCUCAGGGUCAUGUGCCUUUUUCAUUUAAGUGUCAGCAUUUGUCAGAUGUGUUUAAUAGACCUCCAACCGUUUACCCUAUUUUCAAAUUUGGAGGUGAUUUUUGGAUUUUGCACAUUCUUA